UACGGGGGGGGCAAGCGUUGUUCGGAAUUACUGGGCGUAAAGGGCGCGUAGGCGGCCUUCUAAGUCGGACGUGAAAUCCCUCGGCUCAACUGAGGAACUGCACGGGAAACUGCCUGGCUUGAGUUCGGGAGAGGGAAGCGGAAUUCCUGGUGUAGCGGUGAAAUGCGUAGAUAUCAGGAGGAACACCUGCGGUGUAGACGGCUUACUGGACCAUAACUGACGCUGAGGCACGAAAGCGUGGGUAGCAAACAGG
rnacentral:rRNA from 1 species